rnacentral:rRNA from 1 species
GGAGGGGGAUAACUACUGGAAACGGUAGCUAAUACCGCAUAACGUCGCAAGACCAAAGAGGGUUUUCGGGCCUCUUGCCAUCGGAUGUGCCCAGAUGGGAUUAUCAUAGUAGGUGGGGUAACGGCUCACCUAGGCGACGAUCCCUAGCUGGUCUGAGAGGAUGACCAGCCACACUGGAACUGAGACACGGUCCAGACUCCUACGGGAGGCAGCAGUGGGGAAUAUUGCACAAUGGGCGCAAGCCUGAUGCAGCCAUGCCGCGUGUAUGAAGAAGGCCUUCGGGUUGUAAAGUACUUUCAGCGGGGAGGAAGGCGAUAAGGUUAAUAACCUUGUCGAUUGACGUUACCCGCAGAAAGAAGCACCGGCUAACUCCGUGCCAGCAGCCGCGGUAAUACGGAGGGUGCAAGCGUUAAUCGGAAUUACUGGGCGUAAAGCGCACGCAGGCGGUCUGUCAAGUCGGAUGUGAAAUCCCCGCGCUCAACCUGUCGAACUGCAUUCGAAACUGGCAGGCUAGAGUCUUGUAGAGGGGGGUAGAAUUCCAGGUGUAGCGGUGAAAUGCGUAGAGAUCUGGAGGCUUUGAAUACCGGUGGCGAAGGCGGCCCCCUGGACAAAGACUGACGCUCAGGUGCGAAAGCGUGGAGCAAACAGGAUUAGAUACUCUGGUAGUCCACGCCGUAAACGAUGUCGACUUGGAGGUUGUGCCCUUGAGGCGUGGCUUCCGGAGCUAACGCGUUAAGUCGACCGCCUGGGGAGUACGCCGCAAGGUUAAAACUCAAAUGAAUUGACGGGGGCCCUACAAGCGGUGGAGCAUGUGGUUUAUUCGAUGCAACGCGAAGAACCUUACCUACUCUUGACAUCCAGAGAACUUAGCAGAGAUGCUUUGGUGCCUUCGGGAACUCUGAGACAGGUGCUGCAUGGCUGUCGUCAGCUCGUGUUGUGAAAUGUUGGGUUAUCCCGCAACGAGCGCAACCCUUACGCCUUUGUUGCCAGGGUUAGGCCGGGAACUCAAAGGAGACUGCCAGUGAUAAACUGGAGGAAGGUGGGGAUGACGUCAAGUCAUCAUGGCGACCUUACGAGUAGGGCACACACGUGCUACAAUGGCGCAUACAAAGAGAAGCGACCUCGCGAGAGCAACGGACCUCAUAAAUGCGUAGUCCGGAUUGG